GGCAGGCUCAUUGGUUGGUUUGGGAUACACUGAACAUUUCCCCAUAGAUGUGUCGAUCAUCCUAUGAUGAAUUUGGCAACACGAUACUGUAAAUGAGGGUUCUGGGCCUCCUGGGGAUUUCAAGCCCAGGUAAUUUCUCUGUCGUUCUGGAAACCUAACCCUCUUGCAGCCACGGGGAGGCUCAGUUGGACAAAUGCUCCCAGGACCCAGGCUCGUGGUCUGAAGUAAAUGAAAACAGAUGGCGUGCCUGUGCGACACAGCUAACUGACCGCCGCACAGAAAGUUCUGUUGGCUAGAUGUGUGGGGCUGUCUUGGCCUUGGAAACAUUCUGCUAAGUGAACUAAACUUCAGAAUGGGGCGCCUGCUCCCCAGACUGUCUUGGAGGGGCUUGUGGGUGACAGCUUGGCUGGAUGAACCUGCCUUUAGGGGGCUGCUUCUUGUGCUUUGCCUGCAGGGGAGAGAGAGAGUCAAGUGGAGGAACCCACCUCCACACCCCAAUUCUUCCCAGAGGAGUGUGGGUGCUGGGUGCGCAUGUAUGUAGGUGUAUAUGCAUGCCUGUGUGCGUAGAUAGGAUUAUCUAUGUUUUGGGGCUCGGCCCCCAAAUUCCUUUUACUUUUCAAUGAAUUUGAAGGCGGUAACAUCUGGAAGACAAGUAUGCGUCAGUGUUCCAGCAGAGUACCAGUCAAGCAUGCUGAUUCUCACCAGAUGAACCCAUUCUGCUGAUUUCUUCGUCUUGGCCCUGAUGGUCAGCCUGGGAUCUUUGGGCAUCAGAAUUUUCUGCUCUCUCUCUCUCUCCCUCUCCCUCUGGUAAGCCCAAUAAAUCUGCCCCAAUCACGUCACACGGAAAUGUGAUCCUGCCAAGCGUGGAAGCCCACAUGAACUGCCAAAAUCUUAAGGUUCCAGUGAGAGUGAGAACGAGUUUCUGGUGAUGCCCAUGUGUAUGGGGCCUGCGUGUGCAUGUCUGCUGUGUGUGCGCAUGGGUGCCAUGUGUCUAUACUAUGUGUGUAUUUGUGUAGCACUAGGCACAUGUGUGGGUGUGCGUGGGAAUUGUGUGUGUAUACGCGCUUGCAUGUGCAUGUCUACCGUGUGGGCGACACAAGAAUGUCACUGAUCCCCGGUGGCAGGGAUGGAAGGAGGCUGGUGUGUGUGGCCCUGCUUGGGGACAGGUCCAUCUCUUCGGUCCGAAGUGCUUUUCUUCUGGUUUGCUGCCCUCUCCCCCAUCAGCAACAGGCACUAAGGUUGCAGACCCUUCGAGACACGUAAAGUGUCUGUGAUGUUUCUCUUUCCUGCCUGCCUCUCAAGUGAGUUCUUUAAGCUUCUGCAGGAAGUCACCUGCACAAGAUGGGCGCUCCUUCUGCCCCACUGUACUUCUGCUACGUCUGGUCGAAACACCUCUAUAAAGACUCCUGCUUACACUCAACAGGUGUUGGAACCCUCCCGAAUUCGAGAGAGAAAUCUGGAAUCAGAGAAGGAAGACCAGGCCCGUCCGGGUUAUUUAUGUGUCUCUGGAUCGCCUUUGUUCUGCAGAGCGGUGCGCAUGAAAGGCUGGCCGGGCCGGAGGAGUGCCUCGCACAGGGAGACUUGCACAGGAAAUUGGAAAUUGGAAACCGAGGGUCGGCCCCCACUCCGCCUCUGACUCAUGCUUAAACAAACCUAACAGCCGCUCUGACCUUUGCUCCCUCCAUCUGGGGCAGGCCGGACCUGCCUGCAGCCCACUAGCCCCACCAGGCCGAAGGCUCGCGAAAGCCCAGCCUUUGGGCAGCUUCCUGUGGGAGAAAAUCCUUCAGGUUCCAACAAAUGCCGUGGAUGCGGCCCAUGAUUUUUUUUUUUUCAUGUGUGUGUCUUUGACAAAGCGAAUCCUUAAUUUUUUUUUGUCUUUAAAUUUUCAUCCAUUAUAUUCAUCAAUGCAGAGAGAUGGAACAUUUGGCAGAAUUAUUUUAAGUAGCACUCCAACCUGUGAUCAUAAUUUUAAAUGAAGGAAUUUGCUGAGCAGCUGGGGGAAGAACAAAGGGCUGGAGAGUGAUUUAGGGCCUGGGGGAGGGGAGGCUGCAGGCCCGUAGCAGAAGCAGCUGGGGCAGGGGCAGGGUGUGUACCCACUGAGGGGCAGCCGGCCUUCUCAGCCCGGUGGUCCCUCUACACGGGGCCACACUGCAGUUUCCAUCUGCUGAACACACCAAAUGUGACACUUAAAAAUAUAUCCACAGAACAGAGGAUUGAGAUUCAAUUUAAAACGAUGGCUGAGAACUUCUGCUCAGGAGUGGAACAGACCUGGCCUUGAAUCCUGGCUCUACCACUCACCAGCCUCAGUUGAAUCAUCAGUAAAAUGGGAACAAUCACAGCAGUAGCAUCUUGGGGAUCUGAUGCAGUCACUAGCCGAUAGCAAGUUCUGCUGGUCUAGUUACUAGCACAGAGGAAGCGUUCAAAAUUUUAUUAUUCUUGCCAAUAUGCAGAAGUGGACUGAUUCUCUGCUGUGUCUUUGCAACGGAUUCAUUCAACCAGCAUUUAUGUUUCAGGAACAGGGCUGGUUGUUGCAGGGAAGCAAAUAUGUAAAAGCAUAGGAGUUUCAGCUAUUAGAUAAA